rnacentral:rRNA from 1 species
GAUGAACGCUGGCGGCGUGCCUAAUACAUGCAAGUCGAGCGAACGGACGAGAAGCUUGCUUCUCUGAUGUUAGCGGCGGACGGGUGAGUAACACGUGGAUAACCUACCUAUAAGACUGGGAUAACUUCGGGAAACCGGAGCCAAUACCGGAUGAUAUUUUGAACCGCAUGGUUCAAAAGUGAAAGACGGUCUUGCUGUCACUUAUAGAUGGAUCCGCGCUGCAUUAGCUAGUUGGUAAGGUAACGGCUUACCAAGGCAACGAUGCAUAGCCGACCUGAGAGGGUGAUCGGCCACACUGGAACUGAGACACGGUCCAGACUCCUACGGGAGGCAGCAGUAGGGAAUCUUCCGCAAUGGGCGAAAGCCUGACGGAGCAACGCCGCGUGAGUGAUGAAGGUCUUCGGAUCGUAAAACUCUGUUAUUAGGGAAGAACAUAUGUGUAAGUAACUGUGCACAUCUUGACGGUACCUAAUCAGAAAGCCACGGCUAACUACGU